GCAAACUUGGUCAUUUAGAGGAAGUAAAAGUCGUAACAAGGUUUCCGUAGGUGAACCUGCGGAAGGAUCAUUAUUGAAGCUGCUGAGGGGUUGUUGCUGGCUUUCCGAAGCAUCUGUGCACACCUCUCACACUUUAUUCAACCCACCUGUGCACCUUUUGUAGACUUUCAGGAUAUAUUAUCUUUCAGUCCCUUGGGCUGGGUCGGGGAUAGUUGCUUCCUCUUAAAACAGGUGGCUUCAAUCCAAUUUCCGAAAGGUCUAUGUAAUUCUACACAGACUUUUUAUAGUUGUCUAAGAAUGUAUCAUGGUCUUUCUAAGACUAUAAAAAUCUAAUACAACUUUCAACAACGGAUCUCUUGGCUCUCGCAUCGAUGAAGAACGCAGC
rnacentral:misc_RNA from 1 species